CAGGAUAUAACAACAACAAAAAGAUAUAUAUGAUUGGAGUUGUGUAAUAAUUUGGAAGGUUUAAUAAAAAUCAUUAUUAAAAAACCAGAAACUUCUGCCUUGCAUGUGUUUGCCUUGCAGCUGAUGCCUCUGAUUAUAUAUAUAUAUAUUUGCACUGCUGCCAUUACAGUCCCUGCAGUCCUGCCAAGCAGAUGAACCUGGAGGAGCAGGCAGCCUGCAAUAGCUGAGAUUGUUAUGCUCUGCGAAACAGCCUUUCCCUUUGUAGAAAUUGUUCAUUACCAUGCUGUACAGGAAGGGAUGCAGUCUUCUUCAAUGAACGAUGGGUGUUGGCGGGCCUUGACAUUGAAGAGGGGAGGAAAGAAAUCAAACCAUACUGUGCUGUCCCUGAAGGAAUCUUCCUCCGUUUCAGUUGGGUAUGAUGCUGCAUAAAAACACCAGCUAUAUUGGGCAAGUCUACACAGGUACAGCUUGUGUAUGCAUGCCAGCAUGCUCACAGCAAGGAAGGGCUUUGAAAAAGGAUCUCAGACUCCCAGAGUCGCCGUAACAAUUGGCGAUCUCUCGUCUCAAAGCAAAGAUGCACGUAGCGCUGGUUAUCAGCACCGCUCGAGGUCGUGUUAGUUUGAAUGUAACCGCAGGUAUGCAAAUAUGGAAGGCAGUACCAGAAACUUGAGUUUUGUGCACCAAGGAUCAAGUGUCCAUCAAAAAGAAUAUUGCAUGGCUCAAAGAACUCUGAAAUCGACACUCUUUCGAUUGAAAGAACCAUCGUUCAAUGAUGUCACAUGAUGUCGGAUACCGACCUGGCAGGAACUCUCAGAAUGAAUUGCACAAUACUUCAUAAAAGAAAAAAUCACUUAAAACAUCAUGAUAAUGUAAUGCAGAACUGGUAACACUGCUGUAUGUACCAAUCAUCAAUAGCAGAUCAGAAUGGCAACCACAAAUCUUUAUCUCCAUCUGGUCAGAACCAUUACAUUUCUAAUCGCCUUUCUUCCAUGUUGGAACUCAAGGCAUCACACACAGGCGGUUUCUAUCCCCAAGUACUGUUUGGAGUCAGAACUCCUUGGUUGCAUCAUGUACCUUCAGUCAGAUGUAGUGCAUACAGUGAGUGGAGG